UACAGAGGGGGCGAGCGUUGUUCGGAAUUACUGGGCGUAAAGGGCGCGUAGGCGGCCAACUAAGUCAGACGUGAAAUCCCUCGGCUCAACCGGGGAACUGCGUCUGAUACUGGAUGGCUUGAAUUCGGGAGAGGGAUGCGGAAUUCCAGGUGUAGCGGUGAAAUGCGUAGAUAUGUAUUAGAACACCGAUUGCGAAGGCAGUUCACUAGGCUUGUAUUGACACU
rnacentral:rRNA from 1 species